rnacentral:ncRNA from 1 species
AAAAAAUCAUUGAUAGGGACUAGUAAGUAAAAUGGCUAGCUAGAGAGAGCUGAUGGUUGGUGAAAAUCAGUGCAGUUAUUUACUGAAUCUACCCUUGAGAGACUGGUUAAGCCAGUACGGUAAAAGACCGUUAUUUCUUUUGAGCUGAUAUCAAAAAGUAAAUUGAUAUAAUUAGGGUGGCAACGCGGGUUAAUCUCGUCCCUUCU